AUGAACGCUGGCGGCGUGCCUCAUACAUGCAAGUCGAGCGAACAGACGAGGAGCUUGCUCCUCUGACGUUAGCGGCGGACGGGUGAGUAACACGUGGAUAACCUACCUAUAAGACUGGGAUAACUUCGGGAAACCGGAGCUAAUACCGGAUAAUAUAUUGAACCGCAUGGUUCAAUAGUGAAAGACGGUUUUGCUGUCACUUAUAGAUGGAUCCGCGCCGCGUUAGCUAGUUGGUAAGGUAACGGCUUACCAAGGCGACGAUGCGUAGCCGACCUGAGAGGGUGAUCGGCCACACUGGAACUGAGACACGGUCCAGACUCCUACGGGAGGCAGCAGUAGGGAAUCUUCCGCAAUGGGCGAAAGCCUGACGGAGCAACGCCGCGUGAGUGAUGAAGGUCUUCGGAUCGUAAAACUCUGUUAUUAGGGAAGAACAAAUGUGUAAGUAACUAUGCACGUCUUGACGGUACCUAAUCAGAAAGCCACGGCUAACUACGUG
rnacentral:rRNA from 1 species